rnacentral:lncRNA from 1 species
AGAGAAAGUUCCUAAAGGGAUGAUCUGUACCCUAAGGUGCUGAGAAAUUAGAAAUAUAGCUUUUUCUUAUCUCUAGCUUUAGCCCCUGCUGUUAGGGUUACUGUCUUAUCCAGAUGACCCCCAGAGAACAGGAGGGCCAGUGUGGAGGAUAGGGCACUGGGGAAGAUGCUGGUUGACCAUUUCAAAACCAGUUUGGGUAAUGGCUAUUCCCCAAGCUACCCUAACUUCAUUCCAAGCUAUGCAUGACCCUGCCCUUUCACCCCUCCUAGGAUUUCCUGUAUAAAUUCUUUGGAUUUACCUUGCGGACCUCAAGGAAUAUGAAACUGGUGAAGAUGAUGCUUUCCUCUAUCCUACAAAGUGUCCAUGAAGACCUGCAGGAGAGGGAGGGCAUUGCUACGGCACUGAGUAUCGUGUCCAUGAAGUAUCUGAAGAUAGUCCUGGACCAACUUCAAGAGUACAGUGCUAUCCUCACGGACAAGGGCUCAUCAUUCAUCCUCAAACUAAUGAAGGACCAACCCAGCAAAGGGAAUGGGGGUUGGUCUGUAACAUCAUCUACUUAA